UACGAAGGGGGCUAGCGUUGCUCGGAAUCACUGGGCGUAAAGGGUGCGUAGGCGGGUCUUUAAGUCAGGGGUGAAAUCCUGGAGCUCAACUCCAGAACUGCCUUUGAUACUGGCGAUCUCGAGUCCGGAAGAGGUGAGUGGAACUCCUAGUGUAGAGGUGGAAUUCGUAGAUAUUAGGAAGAACACCAGUGGCGAAGGCGACUCACUGGUCCGGUACUGACGCUGAGGUGCGAAAGCGUGGGGAGCAAACAGG
rnacentral:rRNA from 1 species